rnacentral:rRNA from 1 species
UCUAGCGGCGGACGGGUGAGUAACGCGUGAAGCAACCUGUCCCUUACAGGGGGAUAACACAGCGAAAGUUGUACUAAUACCGCAUGAGACCACGGAGUCACAUGGCUCAGGGGGUCAAAGGAGCAAUCCGGUAAGGGGUGGGCUCGCGUCCGACUAGAUAGUUGGUGAGGUAACGGCCCACCAAGUCGACGAUCGGUAGCCGACCUGAGAGGGUGAUCGGCCACAUUGGGACUGAGACACGGCCCAAACUCCUACGGGAGGCAGCAGUGGGGAAUAUUGGGCAAUGGGGGAAACCCUGACCCAGCAACGCCGCGUGAGGGAAGAAGGUUUUCGGAUCGUAAACCUCUGUCCUAUGUGAAGAGGAAGAGACGGUAGCAUAGGAGGAAGCCCCGGCUAACUACGUGCCAGCCGCUGC